rnacentral:lncRNA from 1 species
AAAAGAUCUUUACCAAUCCUACAACAGAUAGAGGCCUUAUAUCCAAAAUAUACAAAGAACUCAAGAAGUUAGACCGCAGGGAAACAAAUAACCCUAUUAAAAAAUGGGGCUCAGAGCUAAACAAAGAAUUCACAGCUGAGGAAUGCCGAAUGGCUGAGAAACACCUAAAGAAAUGUUCAACAUCUUUAGUCAUAAGGGAAAUGCAAAUCAAAACAACCCUGAGAUUUCACCUCACACCAGUGAGAAUGGCUAAGAUCAAAAACUCAGGGGACAACAGAUGCUGGUGAGGAUGUGGAGAAAGAGGAACACUCCUCCAUUGCUGGUGGGAUUGCAAACUGGUACAACCAUUCUGGAAAUCUGUCUGGAGGAUCCUCAGAAAAUUGGACAUUGAACUGCCUGAGGAUCCAGCUAUACCUCUCUUGGGCAUAUACCCAAAAGAUGCCCCAACAUAUAAAAAAGACACGUGCUCCACUAUGUUCAUUGCAGCCUUAUUUAUAAUAGCCAGAAGCUGGAAAGAACCCAGAUGCCCUUCAACAGAGGAAUGGAUACAGAAAAUGUGGUACAUCUACACAAUGGAAUAUUACUCAGCUAUCAAAAACAACGACUU